rnacentral:rRNA from 1 species
UACGUAGGGGGCGAGCGUUGUCCGGAAUCACUGGGCGUAAAGCGCACGUAGGCGGCUUUUUAAGUCAGAGGUGAAAUCCUGGAGCUCAACUCCAGAACUGCCUUUGAUACUGGAGAGCUUGAGUCCGGGAGAGGUGAGUGGAACUGCGAGUGUAGAGGUGAAAUUCGUAGAUAUUCGCAAGAACACCAGUGGCGAAGGCGGCUCACUGGCCCGGUACUGACGCUGAGGUGCGAAAGCGUGGGGAGCAAACAGG